rnacentral:rRNA from 1 species
CCUACUGGAGGCAGCAGUGGGGAAUAUUGCACAAUGGGGGAAACCCUGAUGCAGCCAUGCCGCGUGUGUGAAGACGGCCUUCGGGUUGUAAAGCACUUUCAGUAGGGAGGAAAGGGUGUAGCUUUAAUACGCUAUAUCUGUGACGUUACCUACAGAAGUAGGACCGGCUAACUCCGUGCCAGCAGCCGCGGUAAUACGGAGGAUCCAAGCGUUAAUCGGAAUUACUGGGCGUAAAGCGUGCGCAGGCGGUUUGUUAAGCGAGAUGUGAAAGCCCCGGGCUCAACCUGGGAAUUGCAUAUCGAACUGGCAAACUAGAGUCUUGUAGAGGGGGGUAGAAUUCCAGGUGUAGCGGUGAAAUGCGUAGAGAUCUGGAGGAAUACCGGUGGCGAAGGCGGCCCCCUGGACAAAGACUGACGCUCAGGCACGAAAGCGUGGGGAGCAAACAGGAUUAGAUACCCUGGUAGUCCACGCCUUAAACGAUGUCUACUCGGAGUUUGGUGUCUUGAACACUGGGCUCUCAAGCUAACGCAUUAAGUAGACCGCCUGGGGAGUACGGCCGCAAGGUUAAAACUCAAAUGAAUUGACGGGGGCCGAACAAGCGGUGGAGCAUGUGGUUUAAUUCGAUGCAACGCGAAGAACCUUACCUACUCUUGACAUCCAGAGAAUUCGCUAGAGAUAGCUUAGUGCCUUCGGGAACUCUGAGACAGGUGCUGCAUGGCUGUCGUCAGCUCGUGUUGUGAAAUGUUGGGUUAAGUCCCGCAACGAGCGCAACCCGUAUCCUUAUUUGCCAGCACGUAAUGGUGGGAACUC